rnacentral:rRNA from 1 species
UACACUCCUGCGGGAGGCAGCAGUGGGGAAUUUUGGACAAUGGGCGAAAGCCUGAUCCAGCCAUGCCGCGUGCAGGAUGAAGGCCUUCGGGUUGUAAACUGCUUUUGUACGGAACGAAACGGCCUUUUCUAAUCAAGAGGGCUAAUGACGGUACCGUAAGAAUAAGCACCGGCUAACUACGUGCCAGCAGCCGCGGUAAUACGUAGGGUGCAAGCGUUAAUCGGAAUUACUGGGCGUAAAGCGUGCGCAGGCGGUUAUGUAAGACAGUUGUGAAAUCCCCGGGCUCAACCUGGGAACUGCAUCUGUGACUGCAUAGCUAGAGUACGGUAGAGGGGGAUGGAAUUCCGCGUGUAGCAGUGAAAUGCGUAGAUAUGCGGAGGAACACCGAUGGCGAAGGCAAUCCCCUGGACCUGUACUGACGCUCAUGCACGAAAGCGUGGGGAGCAAACAGGAUUAGAAACCCCUGUAGUCCCAUG